rnacentral:rRNA from 1 species
ACAGAGGGUGCAAGCGUUAAUCGGAAUUAUUGGGCGUAAAGCGCACGUAGGUGGACUAGUAAGUUGGAUGUGAAAUCCCCGGGCUCAACCUGGGAAUUGCAUACAAUACUGCUAGUCUAGAGUACAGUAGAGGGAAGUGGAAUUUCCGGUGUAGCAGUGAAAUGCGUAGAUAUCGGAAGGAACAUCAGUGGCGAAGGCGACUUCCUGGGCUGAUACUGACACUGAGGUGCGAAAGCGUGGGGAGCAAACAGG